GGGGCUAUAGCUCAGUGGCAGAGCACUUAUCUGAUGCAUGUGAGGCACUGGGUUCAAUUCUUAGCACCA
rnacentral:tRNA from 1 species